UAGGCGGAGCAGGAAUGCACGUUUCUAUUUUGCACAUUGCCCUAUCAAUUCCGAUCAUAUAAAACAGCUGAACCAAAUCUCAAAUCAAUAGCAGACAAAGCGCAACUGGAACGGAGUCAGCUGGACGCUGCAGUUGCGGUGGACUCUGCAAGUCUACAAACUGCGGAUGUGCCACGAAAAGUUGUUGUUCCUGCUGCCCGACUGGAUGCAGCAAGUGCGCCUCUGGUUGUGUGUGCA